rnacentral:rRNA from 1 species
AUUGAACGCUAGCGGCAUGCCUUACACAUGCAAGUCGAACGGAGUGGCGGACGGGUGAGUAAUAUAUCGGAACCUGCCCAGUAGCGGGGGAUAACUACUCGAAAGAGUGGCUAAUACCGCAUACUAUUGGAGCGGCCAAUAUGGGAUUAGCUAGUUGGUGGGGUAAAGGCUCACCAAGGCAACGAUCCCUAGCUGGUCUGAGAGGAUGACCAGCCACACUGGGACUGAGACACGGCCCAGACUCCUACGUGAGGCAGCAGUGGGGAAUAUUGGACAAUGGGGGAAAGCCUGAUGCAGCCAUCCCGCGUGUAUGAAGAAGGCCUUAGGGUUGUAAAGUACUUUUGGUAGGGAAGCGGUAUCUGCAGAAUAAGCACCGGCUAACUACGUGCCAGCAGCCGCGGUAAUAC